UACGAAGGGGGCUAGCGUUGCUCGGAAUCACUGGGCGUAAAGGGUGCGUAGGCGGGUCUUUAAGUCAGGGGUGAAAUCCUGGAGCUCAACUCCAGAACUGCCUUUGAUACUGAAGAUCUUGAGUCCGGGAGAGGUGAGUGGAACUGCGAGUGUAGAGGUGAAAUUCGUAGAUAUUCGCAAGAACACCAGUGGCGAAGGCGGCUCACUGGGUCUUUUCUGACGCUGAUGCACGAAAGCUAGGGGAGCAAACGGG
rnacentral:rRNA from 1 species